rnacentral:rRNA from 1 species
ACGAACGCUGGCGGCGUGCUUAACACAUGCAAGUCGAACGGAAAGGCCCUGCUUUUGUGGGGUGCUCGAGUGGCGAACGGGUGAGUAACACGUGAGUAACCUGCCCUUGACUUUGGGAUAACUUCAGGAAACUGGGGCUAAUACCGGAUAGGAGCUCCUGCUGCAUGGUGGGGGUUGGAAAGUUUCGGCGGUUGGGGAUGGACUCGCGGCUUAUCAGCUUGUUGGUGGGGUAGUGGCUUACCAAGGCUUUGACGGGUAGCCGGCCUGAGAGGGUGACCGGCCACAUUGGGACUGAGAUACGGCCCAGACUCCUACGGGAGGCAGCAGUGGGGAAUAUUGCACAAUGGGCGGAAGCCUGAUGCAGCAACGCCGCGUGCGGGAUGACCGCCUUCGGGUUGUAAACCGCUUUCGCCUGUGACGAAGCGUGAGUGACGGUAAUGGGUAAAGAAGCACCGGCUAACUACGUG